rnacentral:rRNA from 1 species
GACGAACGCUGGCGGCGUGCUUAACACAUGCAAGUCGAACGGAAAGGCCCUGCUUUUGUGGGGUGCUCGAGUGGCGAACGGGUGAGUAACACGUGAGUAACCUGCCCUUGACUUUGGGAUAACUUCAGGAAACUGGGGCUAAUACCGGAUAGGAGCUCCUGCUGCAUGGUGGGGGUUGGAAAGCUCCGGCGGUUGUGGAUGGACUCGCGGCCUAUCAGCUUGUUGGUGGGGUAGUGGCCUACCAAGGCGGCGACGGGUAGCCGGCCUGAGAGGGUGACCGGCCACAGUGGGACUGAGAUACGGCCCAGACUCCUACGGGAGGCAGCAGUGGGGAAUAUUGCACAAUGGGCGCAAGCCUGAUGCAGCAACGCCGCGGGCGGGAUGACGGCCUUCGGGUUGUAAACCGCUUUCAGCAGGGACGAAGCUUUUUGUGACGGUACCUGCAGAAGAAGCACCGGCUAACUACGUG